GAUGAACGCUGGCGGCGUGCCUAAUACAUGCAAGUCGAGCGAACAGACGAGGAGCUUGCUCCUCUGACGUUAGCGGCGGACGGGUGAGUAACACGUGGAUAACCUACCUAUAAGACUGGGAUAACUUCGGGAAACCGGAGCUAAUACCGGAUAAUAUAUUGAACCGCAUGGUUCAAUAGUGAAAGACGGUUUUGCUGUCACUUAUAGAUGGAUCCGCGCCGCAUUAGCUAGUUGGUAAGGUAACGGCUUACCAAGGCAACGAUGCGUAGCCGACCUGAGAGGGUGAUCGGCCACACUGGAACGUAGACACGGUCCAGGCUCCUACGGGAGGCAGCAGUAGGGAAUCUUCCGCAAUGGGCGAAAGCCUGGCGGAGCAACGCCGCGUGAGUGAUGAAGGUCUUCGGAUCGUAAAACUCUGUUAUUAGGGAAGAACAAAUGUGUAAGUAACUAUGCACGUCUUGACGGUACCUAAUCAGAAAGCCACGGCUAACUACGUG
rnacentral:rRNA from 1 species